AUUGAACGCUGGCGGCAGGCCUAACACAUGCAAGUCGAACGAGUGGCGGACGGGUGAGUAAUGUCUGGGAAACUGCCUGAUGGAGGGGGAUAACUACUGGAAACGGUAGCUAAUACCGCAUACCAUCAGAUGUGCCCAGAUGGGCUUAGGUAGUUGGUGGGGUGACGGCUCACCACGGCGACGAUCCCUAGCUGGUCUGAUGGGAAGACCAGCCACACGGGAACUGAGAUAGGGGCCAGACUCCUACGGGAGGCAGGAGUGGGGAAUAUGGCAGAAUGGGCGCAAGCCUGAUGCAGCCAUGCCGCGUAUAUGAAGCAGGCCUUCGGGUGGUAAAGUACUUUCAGCGGGGCGGCGUUAGCCGCAGAAGAAGCACCGGCUAACUCCGUGCCAGCAGCCGCGGUAAUAC
rnacentral:rRNA from 1 species